ACCCCCCCUCAAGUUUCGCCCCUGGAGGGUCUAUAUUUGCAUUUUUCGCAACUGCUCCUGGUUAGGGACUGGUCAUAAUUUAUCAGGGGGGGGUGGGGAGGUGUAAUUCAAAAUUUUAAGGAAUGAUAUUUUGUGACCCUGCUUUUCCAUAACCCGGAAAAAUAAUGCCCCCCCCCCCCUUUUAUGUGAGAAGAACAAAAUGUGAGAGGGCAUGUAUAAAAAAAUUGAUCGAACUAAAACAG